rnacentral:rRNA from 1 species
UACAGGGGGUGCAAACGUUGCUCGGAAUCAUUGGGCGUAAAGCGCACGUAGGCGGUUCGUUAUGUCGGAUGUGAAAGCCCUUGGCUUAACCGAGGAAGUGCAUCCGAAACUGGCGAGCUAGAGUACGAAAGAGGAUCGCGGAAUUCCCGGUGUAGAGGUGAAAUGCGUAGAUAUCUGGAGGAACACCGGUGGCGAAGGCGGCAUCCUGGACCAACACUGACACCGAGGAGCGAAAGCCAGGGGAGCAAACGGG